rnacentral:rRNA from 1 species
GGAUUAGAUACCCUGGUAGUCCACGCCGUAAACGAUGAGAACUAGACGUUGGGAGGUUUACCCUCUUAGUGUCGCAGCUAACGCGAUAAGUUCUCCGCCUGGGGAGUACGGCCGCAAGGUUAAAACUCAAAGGAAUUGACGGGGGCCCGCACAAGCGGUGGAGCAUGUGGUUUAAUUCGAUGCAACGCGAAGAACCUUACCUACCCUUGACAUCCCUAGAAUCCUCCGUAAUGGGAGGAGUGCCUUCGGGCCUGGGUGACAGGUGCUGCAUGGCUGUCGUCAGCUCGUGCCG